UCCGUAGGUGAACCUGCGGAGGGAUCAUUACACAAAUAUGAAGGCGGGCUGGAACCUCUCGGGGUUACAGCCUUGCUGAAUUAUUCACCCUUGUCUUUUGCGUACUUCUUGUUUCCUUGGUGGGUUCGCCCACCACUAGGACAAACAUAAACCUUUUGUAAUUGCAAUCAGCGUCAGUAGCAAAUUAAUAAUUACAACUUUCAACAACGGAUCUCUUGGUUCUGGCAUCGAUGAAGAACGCAGCGAAAUGCGAUAAGUAGUGUGAAUUGCAGAAUUCAGUGAAUCAUCGAAUCUUUGAACGCACAUUGCGCCCUUUGGUAUUCCAAAGGGCAUGCCUGUUCGAGCGUCAUUUGUACCCUCAAGCUUUGCUUGGUGUUGGGCGUCUUGUCUCUAGCUUUGCUGGAGACUUGCCUUAAAGUAAUUGGCAGCCGGCCUACUGGUUUCGGAGCGCAGCACAAGUCGCACUCUCUAUCAGCAAAGGUCUAGCAUCCAUUAAGCCUUUUUUUCAACUUUUGACCUCGGAUCAGGUAGGGAUACCCGCUGAACUUAAGCAUAUCAAUAAGCGGAGGAAAAGAAACCAACC
rnacentral:rRNA from 1 species